ACGUUUGUUGCGAACACUGAGCCAAUGUGAACUGAUGACAGCUGAGUAAAGUCCGGAGUUCACAGGUGAAUGUUUCUGAAAGCCAAACCCACAGUUCAGCGUGAUGGUUGAAAAGCGUCAACACUAGGGUAGUAGCUUCCCUCUGACCAUGGGCAGAUGACCGUGACCGUGGCUGAAGCCAGAGGAAGACAGCGUCCCACCAGGGAGGCCACACUGCUGAGUGGACGGGACAAGGCCCAGGGCGGGGCCUCAGGCUAUGGGUGGGUCAACCUGUGCCCACACCACGCGCCCAGGUGAGAGCGGGGUUCCUGUGCCCUCUUUUGGGACCCCAGCCCCCCCCCACAGCCCACCCCCGCACACCC